rnacentral:rRNA from 1 species
GACGAACGCUGGCGGCGCGCCUAACACAUGCAAGUCGAACGGAGUUUGAGAGAGCUUGCUUUUUCAAACUUAGUGGCGAACGGGUGAGUAACGCGUGAGUAACCUGCCCUGGAGUGGGGGACAACAGUUGGAAAUGACUGCUAAUACCGCAUAAGCGCACAGUGCUGCAUGGCACAGUGUGAAAAACUCCGGUGGUAUGAGAUGGACCCGCGUCUGAUUAGCUAGUUGGUGGGGUAACGGCCUACCGAAGGCGACGAUCAGUAGCCGGCCUGAGAGGGUGAACGGCACAUUGGGACUGAGACACGGCCCAA